CCAGCUGUCUCCUUUCUUUAGUGGCUUAACUGGAGCGUCUUCUUCCUCUCCCGCAUCGGCAUUACCUCCAAAGAUCCAGAUCUAACUGGGGGGAGAGUGAGGUGAGGGGGAGCAAGCUAGCUAGGUUUGUGCCACUGUGGUGGUGGGUGCUGCCUGGAGGAGAUGGAUGGAUGUAGACCGGGGACAUGAGCGUCCUCAUCGACAGCACAAAGCUCUUGACGAUCAGGCAAGCUCGAUCGUCUUCACCUCACGCCGGAGUAGUCGCUGACCAGAGAAGCAAGUGGGCCAGGAAGAGAUAAGCACAACUGCUUGACUAGUCAGCCAAGGCGUCAUGAAAUACACAUUUUGUUAGGCGAGCACGACAACAUCAUCCCCUUCAUUUCAUUCCUUGCACGCGUGAAUGGAGCAUCGGACGGAUCCCAUUUGCAACAUGCACAUGGAGUCAUUAAUUGCACCUGGAAUUCCACCACAAUCUACCAUAUGCUUUUGACGAUGAACAAUAUAUCCAUCUUAAUAAUAUA